rnacentral:lncRNA from 1 species
AACUUUAACUUUGUCUGGGCUUUCUUCCAUCCAAAGCCAAAGUCUACUUUUUCAUUCUGUAAUUUACUGUAUACACACUAUAGACAUUGCCCGUCUUAUUAGCCUUCCUAUUCCAGUGACUUGAUGCCAACUUCCCCUUGAACUUCUCCUGCCUUCUCUGCUUGGCACUGAGCACGCUGAAUGGUUUCUCUGUGUGUCUCAAUGAAAUCAGUGCCCUCAGGCAGGGAAUACAAGCACCUUCCAAAAGGGAGUCUGGCUCUGUGUUUCAACUCCUUGGGGAAUGACUAUGAACUCUGUCUCCUGUCCACAGAUGAUUUUAUAUUUCUCUUUUUAUUCUUUUAAAAAAUUCCACAUGGUGUUUCAUUCCUUGUAACUUGGGGUUGGUUUCAUGAGUUAAAGCAGAGUCAGCCCAUAAUAUUCUUUUUUUUUCUUUUUGUAUUUUUAGGGCUGUACCCAUGGCACAUGGAGGUUACCGGGCUAGAGAUCCAAUUGGAGCUACAGGUGCCAGCCACAGCCACAGCUCAGCAAUGCCAGAUCCGAGCUGCAUCUGCAACCUAUACUAUAGCUCAUGGCAAUGCCAGAUUCUAAACCCACUGAGUAAUAUCAGGGAUUGAACCUGCAUCCUCAUGGACACUAGUCAGAUUUGUUUCUGCUGAGCCAUGACAGGAAUUCUCCACAAUAUUCUUAUGAUUUUAAAGGAGUAUUUGGUUGGAGGGCUACUUUCAACAGCAUGUUUUUCAGUAUAAAAGGAGAAAAAUAUUUUCUUGCAGGAGGGAACCCAAUUUGAAAACAGAAAUCUAAGCAUCAGGAAAUAACACACACACAUGCACACAUGAGAGGCCACAUGGAUGCCUAUGUAUCUACGUGUAUUUGUAUUUAUAGAUAUUUUCUUUGGGGAGAGAGAGUGGUUUGGAGGAAAUUUCCAGGGAUAAUUUCUUGAUUGUAAUAAAUGGAUCUUUUCAUCAAGUGACACAAAGCGAUUCUAGUUUUCAUCAAACUCAAUUACUCAGUAAAUAUUUACUGAGCACCUAUAACUUUGCAUCAGCAAUUUGUGACACACAAAUUGCCAGACACUCUCAUUCUGAUAAUGGGUCUACAUUUACUCCACUUGAGUGUAAGAAAUUGAUGCAUAGGAUAUUUUAUUUGUCACCACUGUGCCUGUUUUCUUCAAGACAAUGAUUGGGCUGAAGAACAGCUAGUGCUGCCUCUCUUCAAGGAGAUUGUUGGAAGAGGUUAGCAAUAAGAUCCAACAAUUCAAUUCUGCUGGACCCCUAAUCAUGUAUCAGAAGGAUAUCCUCAGCUCUCCUCUCUAUAUUCAAUCGAUGUCUUUCCAGACAUGCUUAAACUGAUGCUCAGGCCUUUGCUCCUAUCACAAAAUUAGUCAUUAAGAGCUGUGUCAGAGUUUCCACUGUGGUGCAACAGGAUUGGUGGCAUCUCGGCAGUGCCAUGACACAGGUUCGGUCCCCAACCUGGCACAGUGGGUUAAGGAUCUGGCUUUUCUGCAGCUGCAGCUUAGGUUGCAGCUGUGGCUUGGAUCUGAUCCCUAGCCUGGAAACUGCAUAUGCCAUAGGGUGGCCAAAAAAGAAAAAAAAUCUGUGUCACUUGGCCCCAUAAUUAGUCAUGAAUUGUCUGCUAUACCAGUGAGGCAGAUGCUGAGAACAAUGCCUCAACAGUACCAGAGUUUUAGAAUCACCCCUUCCAAAGCCAGUUGACAACAAAUUCAUUUAUCUUUAAAUACAUGUCAAAGCCCCAAAACAGAUUUCAGAUUCCUCUUGUUCUCAAGUCUCCUAACAUUUGUACUUACAAUGCUACACAGGCCCUGUAGGAAUGGUACAACCUCAUGCUUGAUUGUUAUAUCUUGUUGCCUAAGCAGGGUGGGGUGUUGUGUGUACAAGGGGCUGCUACAAUCCCAUAUUUGUAUUUUGAUCCGUAUUUGCAGUUGCUGUUUAGUUUCUAGAAUAGAGAGCUCUUUCAAAGCUUGCAUACUCUGACUAGUUUGUAAAUACUCCUUUCUUCCAGCUCGUCAACUUUCCCAUCUCCUUCAAUCUCCUUCAGGAAGUACUUUCCAUCUUAUUAGGCCAUGUUGAUCUUUCCCUCCUCUGAACCCCAUUAUCAUUUAUUGUCAUCAGCAUUUGACACUCAUGUUUUUACUGCUUUAAAUGUAGUAUCUUGCCUGCUUAAUGAGACUGUAAUAGGUUCUUCAAGGGAACCAGCUGCAAUUAUAUUCCUUUGUGUCCACUACUGCCAGGCACUGUGAUAGGCUCACUGUAUGCACAAAGGUAAGUUUCUGGGUGAAACAACGAACGAAUAAAUGAAUAGGAAUACUGUGGGAACUGGUGGAGCAUUUUCUCAGAUUUCAUUGAACAUGAAACUGUUUAAAUCUGGGCUAAAUUAUAAUCACAGAGAGGACUCCUGACAAACAAGAAGUGUUGAAAUACUGGAAUCUCUUACCAGGGUAAAUUAUAGUUUAUGUAGAAUUUUAGAGAUAUCUAAUCCAUUUGAUGAUUACAUUAGUCAGGGUUCCCUAGAGAAACAGAACCAAAAGCAUAUAUAUAUAGCUUUAUUACAAGGAAUCAGCUCAUGCAAACAUGGAGGCCAGAAGUCUCAAGAUCUACGUUCUGCAAACUGGGAGACCAAGGAAAACCAGUGGUGUAAUUCAGUCUGGGUCUGAAACCCUGAAAAUCAGGCCUGUCAAAGGCAGGGAAAGAUCUAGUUCCCAUCUCAAGCAGUUAGGCAGAAAGGGCUGAAUUCUUCCUCCAACUUUUUCUUCUAUUCGGGCCCUCAGAUGAUUGGGUGAUGUCCACGGGCAUUGAAGAGGAUCCACUUUGCUGGGUCCAGCAACUCAAAUACUCAUUUCACCAGAAAUACCCUCCAGACACAGACACACUCCAAAAUAAUGGUUAGGCAAAUAUCUGUGCACCUUAUGAUCUAGUCCAAUUGACAGACAAAAUCACUAUUACAGAACUGAAGAAACUGAAAACCAUGGAUGUUAGUGACUUGUCUGAGGUUACUUAGCUGGCCAAGUGAAAAGUCAUGACCCAGGUCCUUUCUCUAACAAAGAGUCCAGUAUUUUGGAUCUUUGACAGGAAAUACAGACAACUGAGUGAAUAUCACCUGUGGGUUGCACACAAUGUACUAUAGGUGGUAUUCUCUCAAAUAUCACUCCCUGACACCACUCAGCUUAGAGUUGAAUUUUUGAUCCAUUCAUAUUGCAAUGGUGAGUUCUUUCUCUGUCUACUUUUGAGAGAUGGAAAUUUUCUUUAAGUUUAGGUCUCGUCACUCUUCACAGACCAGAGAAAUUUACUGUUAUUCUCAGGGCAUUCCAUUUCUGCUGGAAGCUUCAGAAAUGUCAUAGGAUGUUCAAGAUAUUUUCAAAGGAGACAUUGACAAAUGGAAGUGCAUCCAAAAGAAGGUGACCAGGCUUGUGCAAUGUCUGGAAAUAUGUCAUGUGAGGAAUGUGCCUGUCAUUUUAUGUUCAAGAAAAUGGUGAGGUUGAGUCAGAAUGAUGCUCCACAUCCCUGCAGGGCAAUGAUAACUUCCUUCAAUUAUUUGAAGAGCUGCCAUGUGAAACUAGGAUUCUAUAUCUUCUGAAUAGUUUUACAGUGCCAAACUUGGACCAGUGUGUGACAGGCACAAGGAGUCUGGUUUCUGCUGCAUAUAAACAGACUUAUCCAAUAGUUGAAGUUGUUGUUUCAGCUCCAUUUUUCACACCAGUGGAACUGCAUUGGGGACCCUUGUCAGAAAAUAUUCCCAUAUCAAAUGGGAGACAGCCUGGAGGUCCUAGUCACUUAUGGCUUGAAGAUUCUUGUGAGUAUGUGUCACCAAGCUACAUCCAAAUUAUGACAUUCAGACCCUGUUCAGCAACUCUCCCUCACCUUAUUCAGGCGAAGACCCUUUUAGGAAAGACGAUGCUGUUAGGAUCCACUGCUGACACUAGAGGCCCUGAUUAAUUGCCCAGGCUGUGCACAGUGUAGCUUAUAAUCUUGAGGUGUUCUCUUCACCACUACUUAACUCACCAUGUCUGAAGCUUUUCCUACAACAAUGAAAUAAUAUGGUUCUUUUUAAAAAUCUUGUUUUUACUAGAGUUUAGACGAUGUACAGGGUUGUGUCAGUUUCUGCUGUACCACAUAGUGACCUAAUCAUACAUAUAUACAUAUAUACAUAGUGAUCUAACCAUACAUAUAUACAUUCUUUUUCUCAUACUAUCUUCCAUCAUGUUCUAUAUCAAGAGAUUGAAUAUAGUUCCCUGUGUUGUACAAUAGGAUCUCAUUGCUUAUCCAUUCUAAAUGUAAUGGUUUGCAUCUACCAACCUCAAACUCCCUGUCCAUCCCACUCCCCACCCCUCAAGUAGAUAUUCCGAGUGGCUUGUGUAAAACCAGUGUAAUUUAAUGAACUAAAGCUUUGAAAGUGUUAGAAAAUGAAUCAAGCUGUAAAAUAUGCCAGAGGUUUUAAGAGAAAAUUGGUCAUGUUUCAGUAUCAUUGAAAUAAUAUUCCCUGUGAGUCAACAUCUAUAAUAUGAAUAUUCUUUCACGUCUCACCUUGAUUGGAAUAGAAAGUACAUAUUUAACGGGUUGAAUGUGACUCAAACUACCAUUCUAAUUAUAGUUUGUCUUUUAUCUUUUUUUUAAAUUUUUACUAAAGCAGCAAUCAAAGCUCAUGUUUAGGUUUAUACAGAUUUCACUGAACACACAAGUUCCAUGAUGGAACUCAUUUUAUUAGACCCUAUACUCAAUACAAAACAUCAGUUGCAGAGGGUCACGCUGCAUUUUUCUAGCUGUCACAUCAAUAUCUUGCUGAGUACCAUCUGCAAUGUCUUGGGUUCUGUAUUUAUACUGGGACUCAUUUUAGUUUGAUCCAAAAGCUAUUUCCAAAAUGCCUGAAGUAUACAGGAAAACACUUUAUCAACAGUUAGUCCACUGCUUUGGAGAUAGAAAUAGCAGUAACAUUCUCCACAGUAGUGGAUAUCUAGAUAAAUGAUGAUAAUAGGCUUAAGGAGAAACAAUUGUAAGAAAAGUUGUUUUAUCUUAAAUGAAUCUACCUCUCCUAAACUUGUGUAGCUCAAAGGAGAUUUGGAUGCUUGGCAACUCUUAGGUGUUGAAAUGCAAAGCCAAUAUUAGAAGCUAGUUAAUUCUUAUGUAAUAUAUCUGUAAUUUAGGAAGCUACCACUAGAUAAUAGAAUUAUCUUGAAAGAGAGCAACAUGGGCUAUGUAAAAAUCAUUCUUAAACUGUCCCUAACUGAUCUUUAUAAACUCUGAUGGACCUGCCCUCUCAGUCCAACAUGUCACCAUAUUUUCAGGUACAUAUAUAUAAUAGAAUACUGCUCAGC